CUGAAUAUGGGGGGACCAUCCUCCAAGGCUAAAUACUCCUGACUGACCGAUAGUGAACCAGUACCGUGAGGGAAAGGCGAAAAGAACCCCUGUGAGGGGAGUGAAAUAGAACCUGAAACCGUGUACGUACAAGCAGUAGGAGCACCUUCGUGGUGUGACUGCGUACCUUUUGUAUAAUGGGUCAGCGACUUAUAUUCAGUGGCAAGGUUAACCGUAUAGGGGAGCCGUAGCGAAAGCGAGUCUUAACUGGGCGCUCAGUCUCUGGAUAUAGACCCGAAACCGGGUGAUCUAGCCAUGGGCAGGUUGAAGGUUGAGUAACAUCAACUGGAGGACCGAACCGACUAAUGUUGAAAAAUUAGCGGAUGACUUGUGGCUAGGGGUGAAAGGCCAAUCAAACUCGGAGAUAGCUGGUUCUCCCCGAAAGCUAUUUAGGUAGCGCCUCGGACGAAUACUACUGGGGGUAGAGCACUGUUAAGGCUAGGGGGUCAUCCCGACUUACCAACCCUUUGCAAACUCCGAAUACCAGUAAGUACUAUCCGGGAGACACACGGCGGGUGCUAACGUCCGUCGUGGAGAGGGAAACAACCCAGACCGCCAGCUAAGGUCCCAAAGUAUUGCUAAGUGGGAAACGAUGUGGGAAGGCUCAGACAGCUAGGAUGUUGGCUUAGAAGCAGCCAUCAUUUAAAGAAAGCGUAAUAGCUCACUAGUCGAGUCGGCCUGCGCGGAAGAUGUAACGGGGCUAAGCAAUACACCGAAGCUGCGGCAAUGUCUUUUAGACAUUGGGUAGGGGAGCGUUCUGUAAGCCGUUGAAGGUGAAUCGUAAGGUUUGCUGGAGGUAUCAGAAGUGCGAAUGCUGACAUGAGUAACGACAAAGGGGGUGAAAAACCUCCUCGCCGGAAGACCAAGGGUUCCUGUCCAACGUUAAUCGGGGCAGGGUGAGUCGACCCCUAAGGUGAGGCCGAAAGGCGUAAUCGAUGGGAAACGGGUUAAUAUUCCCGUACUUCUGACUAUUGCGAUGGGGGGACGGAGAAGGCUAGGUGGGCCAGGCGACGGUUGUCCUGGUUCAAGUGCGUAGGCUUGAGAGUUAGGUAAAUCCGGCUCUCUCUAAGGCUGAGACACGACGUCGAGCUACUACGGUAGUGAAGUCAUUGAUGCCAUGCUUCCAGGAAAAGCCUCUAAGCUUCAGAUAGUCAGGAAUCGUACCCCAAACCGACACAGGUGGUCGGGUAGAGAAUACCAAGGCGCUUGAGAGAACUCGGGUGAAGGAACUAGGCAAAAUGGUACCGUAACUUCGGGAGAAGGUACGCUCUUGAUGGUGAAGUCCCUCGCGGAUGGAGCUGACGAGAGUCGCAGAUACCAGGUGGCUGCAACUGUUUAUUAAAAACACAGCACUGUGCAAAAUCGCAAGAUGACGUAUACGGUGUGACGCCUGCCCGGUGCCGGAAGGUUAAUUGAUGGGGUUAGCGCAAGCGAAGCUCUUGAUCGAAGCCCCGGUAAACGGCGGCCGUAACUAUAACGGUCCUAAGGUAGCGAAAUUCCUUGUCGGGUAAGUUCCGACCUGCACGAAUGGCGUAAUGAUGGCCACGCUGUCUCCACCCGAGACUCAGUGAAAUUGAAAUCGCUGUGAAGAUGCAGUGUACCCGCGGCUAGACGGAAAGACCCCGUGAACCUUUACUACAGCUUGGCACUGAACAUUGAACCUACAUGUGUAGGAUAGGUGGGAGGCUAUGAAGACGUGACGCCAGUUGCGUUGGAGCCGUCCUUGAAAUACCACCCUUGUAUGUUUGAUGUUCUAACUUAGACCCAUUAUCUGGGUUGAGGACAGUGCCUGGUGGGUAGUUUGACUGGGGCGGUCUCCUCCCAAAGAGUAACGGAGGAGCACGAAGGUGGGCUAAUCACGGUUGGACAUCGUGAGGUUAGUGCAAUGGCAUAAGCCCGCUUAACUGCGAGAAUGACGGUUCGAGCAGGUGCGAAAGCAGGUCAUAGUGAUCCGGUGGUUCUGUAUGGAAGGGCCAUCGCUCAACGGAUAAAAGGUACUCCGGGGAUAACAGGCUGAUACCGCCCAAGAGUUCAUAUCGACGGCGGUGUUUGGCACCUCGAUGUCGGCUCAUCACAUCCUGGGGCUGAAGUCGGUCCCAAGGGUAUGGCUGUUCGCCAUUUAAAGUGGUACGCGAGCUGGGUUUAGAACGUCGUGAGACAGUUCGGUCCCUAUCUGCCGUGGGCGUUGGAAGAUUGAAGGGGGCUGCUCCUAGUACGAGAGGACCGGAGUGGACGAACCUCUGGUGUUCGGGUUGUGUCGCCAGACGCAUUGCCCGGUAGCUAAGUUCGGAAUUGAUAAGCGCUGAAAGCAUCUAAGCGCGAAGCGAGCCCUGAGAUGAGUCUUCCCUGACAGUUUAACUGUCCUAAAGGGUUGUUCGAGACUAGAACGUUGAUAGGCAGGGUGUGUAAGCGUUGUGAGGCGUUGAGCUAACCUGUACUAAUUGCCCGUGAGGCUUAACCAU
rnacentral:rRNA from 1 species